GACGAACGCUGGCGGCGUGCUUAACACAUGCAAGUCGAACGGAAAGGCCCUGCUUUUGUGGGGUGCUCGAGUGGCGAACGGGUGAGUAACACGUGAGUAACCUGCCCUUGACUUUGGGAUAACUUCAGGAAACUGGGGCUAAUACCGGAUAGGAGCUCCUGCUGCAUGGUGGGGGUUGGAAAGUUUCGGCGGUUGGGGAUGGACUCGCGGCUUAUCAGCUUGUUGGUGGGGUAGUGGCUUACCAAGGCUUUGACGGGAAGCCGGCCUGAGAGGGUGAGCGGCCACAUGGGGACUGAGGGGCGGCCGAGGCUCGUAAGGGGGGGAAGGGGGGGAAAUUUUGCAAAAGGGACGGAGGCGGGGUGAAGAAAGCCCGCGGGGGGUAAAGCGCCUUUGGGGUUAAAAACCUCUUUGGCCUUGAACGAGGGGGGGGUGGGGGAAAUGGGAAAAAAAAGCGCGGGUAAACACGG
rnacentral:rRNA from 1 species